rnacentral:rRNA from 1 species
CGGGUGAGUAACACGUGGAUAACCUACCUAUAAGACUGGGAUAACUUCGGGAAACCGGAGCUAAUACCGGAUAAUAUAUUGAACCGCAUGGUUCAAUAGUGAAAGACGGUUUUGCUGUCACUUAUAGAUGGAUCCGCGCCGCAUUAGCUAGUUGGCAAGGUAACGGCUUACCAAGGCAACGAUGCGUAGCCGACCUGAGAGGGUGAUCGGCCACACUGGAACUGAGACACGGUCCAGACUCCUACGGGAGGCAGCAGCC